rnacentral:lncRNA from 1 species
AGACACAGCCCAUCCUAUACCCAGUUCAGAGUUCUUGGUGCCGAAGUCCAGACACUCCCACACACCCGCAUUACACUAUGGGAAGAUAUUUACGUGUGGGCAGUAAAGGAAGCCAUUCGUGCGGCCAAUCUAGAACACAGCCAGUAAUACGUGAUCUGGACUCUGACAUUUCCUACUUAGGCAGCAGUCAUAACACAAAGUCAGGUAGUACUAGGAAAACCAGAACACGGCCAACUCGAUCAGCAGGGCCUAAUUUAGGUGGAGUGAUUUAUAUCGGUUCAGCUGUACCCAUCGGCUCUGCUCUACAGAAGUAUUUUGCUCAUUCAUCUUACCACUUCAGGCUCCUGGACCAGCCUCUCUUUUGGCCAUAAACUUUCUCUAGCAUCUCACAGAGGAUCAAUGAAUAGAACUGGGUUAUUUUCAAAGCACUCUGUGGCAAAAAUAGUUUUGUGAUUCAUUGCUCUGAGAAUAAGGUCCAGGUCUUUAGAACCACCCUGGAUUUGUAUUUGAUUUCUCUGCAGACUCUGUGUUUGAAGAUAGGUUUGCUAGUGCCUCUCAUUAGCAGACAUUCUGUGCAUGUAGAAGACAUGUCUAAGAGGAGAACUCUGUAUAUCUUAGCAUUCCACUGAGUUACUUUUGACCUAUUCAUUUAACAGCUAUAAAGAGUAAUUAUUUCAGAAGUAUAUAAAUCUGCACAAGCCACAAUGCUCUGCACAGCUUUGCAGCUUAAAACCCAU